AAACUGGUCGAUAGAUCAUAGAACAGAAAUGGUGCUACUUGCUACCGGCUCCACUGCCGCUCCAGGCGACGGCGAUCCGCAGCAGGCCGCUCCUGCCGCUGUCGAUCCUCAGCUGGCCGCUCCUGUCGUUGUUCAGCUGCCUCCAGCUGCUCCAGUCGAGCGGUUGCCGGUUGGUCCAAGCCCCACACCAAAGGUUCCAAAUCCAUCUUCCAGCGGAGGAAUAGAUCCUGUUGGUCCUGGCAGUGGAACUCCCGAUAGACCGAGAGGCUAAUGUCGCUUCCAGAGCUUCAAGGGGGAUCACGGGAUGCUACAUGUAUGUGACUUGUUUUUGUGUUGAAGACUAUGUGUAUCCUUUAAUAAAUGUUAAUUAAUAGAACAUUAAGAAGAAGAGAACGUGGCAUGGUCGACAUUGUGUAACAUGUUGUGCCGUGUGCAUCAAACAUGUUACAUGUGUAAGAUUUGGUAGUGUCGCAUGCAAUUACUGGUUGCCGGGACAUAUGGUCUACGAGGAAAGAAAAAUUAUUACUGGUUGCCGGGAUUUCAUAUAUGCUUUUAAGAAUCAAUUCUAUAGUAUUUCAUGAUUAAUUUUAGAAUAAAUUUCAGAAAAACCACACUUUUCUAACCACUUGUCUCACAGAACCACACUUGUCGCUAAUUUGUCCGCUGCGCCACAACUAUUCGGACAAAAUGUAACAGUGAACCCAAAACACACGGCUUAGCGAUUAUGACGGGAUUCCCGACAGGUGGGCCCAUUAUUCAGUCCGUCGUCUUGGCCGCUGGCCAGAUCGCACGAUGGGGGGUUCAACGCCAUCCGCCUGGCCGCCGCGCGCCCCAAGCCGCCCUGCAGCAGCCGCAGCGUGGCCUCCGGUGCAGCCGUGCAGAAGAGAUGAUCUGCCUACGCACCAAGGGAGCCCGAUCUGCCUACCCACCCACCCAGGCUAGGCACGCACAACACCAGCAUCUUUGAUGUUUCCCUCCGGGCGCCGGGGGCUGCCCUGGCUGGCCGGACUCGGCCUAUACGCAGUGGCGCUGGGCGCCGCGCCGGUGCGCGCUCCCGGAGUUCAACGCGAUGGACUUUCUCUCCCGGAUCCGGGGGCGGCGGCUGGUGCUCGUGGGCGAAUCCAUGAACCGCAACCAGUUCGAGUCCAUGCUCUGCGUCCUCUGCUAGGCGCUCCCCGACAAGUCCCGCAGCGCUUCGUCGAGACCCACGGCUGGCACAUCUCCAAGGGCUCCGUCCCCCUCCUUGCCGCGCGGCGCCGCUGCCACCACGGGGGCCCACUGCAUCCGCUUGCCGUACUACUUCUCGGGGAGCCCGCCUGCACAGACAGCCCGUUCUCCUUCAGUCGCCGCCGGUUCUCCUGCAGGGCCAGCGCCACGAGGAGGGGGGUCUAGGGCUUCAGGGCGGGGAGCGGGGCAUGGACGGGAGGAGGAGGAGGCGAGGAUUGCCUGGGCCGGCCGCCGUCGACGGAGGAGAGGGACGAGACGGCCAGCGGCUGAGGCAACGGACUGACUAAUGGGCCCCGUCUGUCGGGAAUCCCAUCAAAAUCGCUAACCCUUGUGUGUUUGGACGCGUUGUUACAUUUUGUCCGAAUGGUCGUGGCGCAGCGGACAAAUCAGCGACAAGUGUGGUUCUGUGAGACAAGUGGUUAGAAAUGUGUAGUUUUUUGAAAUUUACUCUUAAUUUUCUAACUAACUUGACACCCUCUUCAAUGCUUUCUUUGUUGUAUGUUUCACUCAAAAUGAAGUUUGGACUUUCCUCGGUGAUAUUUAUACUCUCUCCAUUCCAUAAUAUAAAGCACGCAUUUUAAGAUUUUGUUUUGACCACCAAUUAGACCAACAAAAUAUGAAUUAUGUAUUACAAAAAUUAUACCGUCCAAAACUUCUUUCAGAUAUGAAUCUAGUGGUAUUGUUUUUAUAACACAUAAUUCGCAUUUUGUUAGUCUAAUUAAUGGUCAAAGAUGGACCUCGAAAUACGGAGACGGUUUAUAUUAUGAAACGGAGGAAGUAAAUUGUCAACGACAACAAUGGCCCAUAUCCGACCAGACUUCUCAAACGUCCCUAGAAUUCCAGAAACUGCAUGCAGUCCAUACUUGAACAUAUGAAGUCUACGGCCGGUACUCGCGUACGUUGGUGUCAAGUGUGAACCCACGCGUCUUACGUUCUUCCGGUCGCCGCUGAAUGGGGAGACUAGCUAAGUUGGCUAAGAUCGAUCUCAAUCAGCUUAUAAAUACCCGGCCCGGGCAAGCAAUCUGAACACAGGAAGCGUCUACACUCUACCCCUACCAACAGGAUCAUCUCAUCUCCGGAUCAGCGUUUGCAAGAAAAUAGGACUGAAAAUGGUACCUGCAGCUACCGGCAGCGAAGCCGCUGCCCCUCCAGCCGCCGCUUCCCAGCCUCCGGCCGCUCAAGGCCGCGAUCCUCAGCCACCCGGUCCCGCCGUUGUUCCGGCGCCGCCUCCAGCUGCAGCUGCUCCAGCUCGCCCACCGAAGGUUGCUGAUCCAGCCGCCCCACCUUUCAGCCAGACUCCGGAUCGACCGCCGAAGAAGGGCCAGUAAUGCUUCGUUCCGUGCUCCGAACUGCGAUUACGGGACGUACAGAGAAGAAAAUUGGCACGCGGUCGCAGUUUGGGCCAAUUAAUCCAUUGAUCCAUAAUCCGCUUCCGUUAUUGCUGACGAUUGAGGUUGAGGGGUUGCUUUCAAACCGCUGCCCGACGACAGCCAGUCGACGACCGUUCCAUGAUUGAGCAUAUUUAUGCUUUCCGAAUUCAGCCUCAGCUGGGGUGCAUUAAUUCAAACCUGUUGACUUAUUUGGAACAAUAUAUAUACAGUUGUUCAAGUCUACCUGCAGCACAAUAUCAAUACACUAUGUCCAAUUGGUGUUAAAGAAAACACCACUAAUGUGCAAUUUGCAAGCUGCCGCUGUCAGGACUGAACUGCCCUUGUACGUAGUCUGGACAUAAUUAACAUCGACGAGUACGGCUUCCGGAGAGCUUAUAAAUACCCCUGCAGACCUCAGUGCAGGCAAAACUGGUCUGGAGACACCUUAUACCUACUAGGAUCCGUGUGUGCAAGGUUCAGAAAAGAUCAGAAAGGAUUCUUGUGUGCAAAAAUUAGGAUAGAAAUGGAACUUGCCACUGGCUCCGCCGGCGAUCCUCCGGUCGCUCCCGCCGUUGACCAGCCUCGAGCCGCUCAUCAAGAGGUCCCUGCUGCCGUUGACCAGCCUGGUCCUCCCGUUGUUCGGCCAUCCACAAGCCCCAGGCCGCCUGGUCCACCGAGAGAAGGUGGUGGUGGUUCAGGUGGUGCCUUCAGUGGAACUCCGGAUAAACCACGUCCUAAAGCAGCUGGUAAACCGGUUGGUCGCUAAGGUGGGACAAGGGAUAUGCCUCAUGCGUGUGACUUGUUUCUGUGUUGCAGAUUGUCUGUAUCCUAUGAACAUGUUAAUCAAUCUAUACCAAUAUAUUAAACUAGCAUGUGUGCCCGCGCGUUGCUACGAGUCAACAAAAUCACAAACUAUUUAUUUUCAUUUUCUGUGUAAGCAACUCAUGGCGCCGUCGAGGUCGGCAUGCGGGUGUGGUGGCGUCGGUUGUAAGACGGAGUAGGAGAAAUCGUGAAAAAAACUGAAGGAAAAGAAAAUAACGGACAGUGACAUAUUGGUUGUAAUUUUAACGAAAUUAACCUACGGUCGCAAGUUAACCUACGGUGGCUAUCAUUUUUUAUAUAUUGAUAUAGAUUGGAGUUGGUGGUACAGUCGCCGUACGUCCUCAACCCCUUCCGCCCGACCCUAUCGCACGGGAGAGUCCCUUGCACGCGGCCCGACCUUAUCCCCUCUCCCUCUGGCUGUCUCGCACCUAUCCCCUCGAUCAUGGAGUUGGUUGCGUCCUGCACUCCUGCCUCUUCCCCUCCCCUCGUCCCGAUCGCCCACACGUAACCUCCCUCGCCCCCUCCACAAUCCAACCCGCUCGACACUCGGCUCGCUGCCUCCUCCUCGUCCGUGCUCCUGCACGCAAAGCUCCGCCGCUACUUGAGCAUAUCGACCGGAUCCAGCCGCCGCACGAGCUCCUCCUCUCGCCCCAUCCCCCGUGCCAUGCUCCUCCUCCGCCUGAGGCGCCCCUUGGCCGGACCCCGCCGCCCGUUCGUCUCGCCUGCGCAUCCCGGCCGUAUCAGGCCGCUAGCCCUAACCUCCUCUCGCCCCAUCCCUUGUGCAGAUCUCUGCUUCGCCCCCACCUGAGCGCCUCGGCCGGAUCCACCGCUUGAACUCCUCCUCUCAACCCAUCCCUUCUCAGAUGCUAGCUAGGUUGCCGUGGCAGCCGUCUCUGUCAUGUGUGGGAGAGCAUGGAAGACAAUCCCGACACAACACCAUUACUUUGAUCUACUAAUAUGGUUGUUUGAUUGAGAUGAUAAUUUGUUCUACUCCGUAUGUGUUUGUGGUCAACCGGAUUGAACUCCAACUUGAACGUGCAAAUAAUUUUGCAGUUCACAACUCCACAUGCCUGAGUGCUAAUCCUGAAUGAGUUCAGAACUUCAGAUAAGAAAUGCAUGUUGCAUUCUCAUUGGUUGUAUUUUCCCCCCCUUGAAACUUGAAUUGUGCUCUGCUGAAAUAAGUUUACGUUGGUACCUGGGAAUUUAUUCUGAAGUGUUUAGUAUA